rnacentral:rRNA from 1 species
AGCAGCCGCGGUAAUUCCAGCUCCAAUAGCGUAUAUUAAAGUUGUUGCAGUUAAAAAGCUCGUAGUUGAAUUUCGGGAUUUAUCCGUCGGUCGGGCUUUUGGGUCUGUACUGGCGUGAUGGAUUCCUACCUUCUGAAUAACCGGCAUGUCAUUAAUUUGGUGCGCUGGGGAAGCAGGACUGUUACCUUGAAAAAAUUAGGGUGCUUAAAGCAGGCUAUUGCCUGAAUACAUUAGCAUGGAAUAAUGAAAUAGGACGGCAUGGUUCUAUUUUGUUGGUUUCUAGGAUCACCGUAAUGAUUAAUAGGGAUAGUUGGGGGCAUUAGUAUUCAAUUGUCAGAGGUGAAAUUCUUGGAUUUAUUGAAGACUAACUUCUGCGAAAGCAUUUGCCAAGGAUGUUUUAUUAAUCAAGAACGAAAGUUAGGGGAUCGAAGACGAUCAGAUACCGUCGUAGUCUUAACCAUAAACUAUGCCGACUAGGGAUCGGACGAUGUUAAUUUUUUAAUGACUCGUUCGGCGCCUU